UAGUGUAAAUUCCAUAGCAAAAAAUUCAGUAUCAUAAAAUUUAGAUAUUUCAAAAGUGUAAGAUAUAACUCAAAAAUAUAAAGAAAAUAUUUUAUCCUUAAUAGCUGAUGAGUGAUUCAUGGAGACUUGAGGAUAAAUGUUUGACUUGAAAGACAACUCUACAAACCCCUGCGUGGUCCUCUGAAUUAUCUUUGAGUGUCAUUUAAAAGUUAAAACUAUGA
rnacentral:misc_RNA from 1 species